rnacentral:tRNA from 1 species
GGCUGUGGCGCAGUGGUAGAGCACUUGCUUGACAUACAGAAAGUCCCGGGUUCAAUUCCUGUCACCGCCA